rnacentral:snoRNA from 1 species
GUGAGGUGAUGAUGAAGUUUAUCCAUUCUCUGAGUGCAGUGCUGCCGCCCUCCUGCAGCACCCUAAUUCCUGUUCUAGGGUCUGGGUGCUGUGCAGCCUCCAGAGAGCCCCCAGUCUCCCAGUGUCCUACUGGUGGGUGCUGUGGGGGGUGGC